rnacentral:rRNA from 1 species
UACGAAGGGGGGCUAGCGUUGUCCGGAAUUAUUGGGCGUAAAGAGCUCGUAGGCGGCUUGUCACGUCGGGUGUGAAAGCCCGGGGCUUAACCCCGGGUCUGCAUUCGAUACGGGCUGGCUAGAGUGUGGUAGGGGAGAUCGAAUUCCUGGUGUAGCGGUGAAAUGCGCAGAUAUCAGGAGGAACACCGGUGGCGAAGGCGGAUCUCUGGGCCAUUACUGACGCUGAGGAGCGAAAGCGUGGGUAGCAAACAGG